rnacentral:rRNA from 1 species
CACUGCCGAGAAAAGCCUCUAGAUAGAAAAUAGGUGCCCGUACCGCAAACCGACACAGGUAGUCAAGAUGAGAAUUCUAAGGUGAGCGAGCGAACUCUCGUUAAGGAACUCGGCAAAAUGACCCCGUAACUUCGGGAGAAGGGGUGCUCUUUAGGGUUAACGCCCAGAAGAGCCGCAGUGAAUAGGCCCAAGCGACUGUUUAUCAAAAACACAGGUCUCUGCUAAACCGUAAGGUGAUGUAUAGGGGCUGACGCCUGCCCGGUGCUGGAAGGUUAAGAGGAGUGGUUAGCUUCUGCGAAGCUACGAAUCGAAGCCCCAGUAAACGGCGGCCGUAACUAUAACGGUCCUAAGGUAGCGAAAUUCCUUGUCGGGUAAGUUCCGACCCGCACGAAAGGCGUAACGAUUUGGGCACUGUCUCAACGAGAGACUCGGUGAAAUCAUAGUACCUGUGAAGAUGCAGGUUACCCGCGACAGGACGGAAAGACCCCGUGGAGCUUUACUGUAGCCUGAUAUUGAAAUUCGGCACAGCUUGUACAGGAUAGGUAGGAGCCUUUGAAACGUGAGCGCUAGCUUACGUGGAGGCGCUGGUGGGAUACUACCCUAGCUGUG